rnacentral:rRNA from 1 species
GUGGGGAAUCUUGCGCAAUGGGCGAAAGUCUGACGCAGCCAUGCCGCGUGAAUGAUGAAGGUCUUAGGAUUGUAAAAUUCUUUCACCGGGGACGAUAAUGACGGUACCCGGAGAAGAAGCCCCGGCUAACUUCGUGCCAGCAGCCGCGGUAAUACGAAGGGGGCUAGCGUUGCUCGGAAUUACUGGGCGUAAAGGGAGCGUAGGCGGACAUUUAAGUCAGGGGUGAAAUCCCGGGGCUCAACCUCGGAAUUGCCUUUGAUACUGGGUGUCUUGAGUGUGAGAGAGGUAUGUGGAACUCCGAGUGUAGAGGUGAAAUUCGUAGAUAUUCGGAAGAACACCAGUGGCGAAGGCGACAUACUGGCUCAUUACUGACGCUGAGGCUCGAAAGCGUGGGGAGCAAACAGGAUUAGAUACCCUGGUAGUCC